rnacentral:rRNA from 1 species
UACGUAGGGGGCAAGCGUUGUCCGGAAUUAUUGGGCGUAAAGAGCGUGUAGGCGGUCCGGUAAGUCAGCUGUGAAAGCCCCGGGCUUAACCUGGGAACUGCGUUUGAAACUGGGAGACUUGAGUGUGGCAGAGGGGGGUGGAAUUCCACGUGUAGCAGUGAAAUGCGUAGAUAUGUGGAGGAACACCGAUGGCGAAGGCAGCCCCCUGGGUUAACACUGACGCUCAUGCACGAAAGCGUGGGGAGCAAACAGG